GUUUCUCUCUCUCUUUUUUUUUAUUUCUCUGAAAAUGUGAUGAGCAGUACAAAUAUGGAUGUUUUCACUAGAAAACGUCAGGAUUGUACUUUAUGGAUCGAAAGAAGUGUGCCGGUAUCAGGUUAAACUCUAAUUUAAUAAGGAAUUUUAAAAAGAAUUAAAUUUAAAAAUCUAAGUAAAAUUUUGCAUUUGGCCAUGAAUUGUGCCUUCUUCCCUUAUUCAUACACAUUAAAUCUUUGUAAUUGAAGAUCUUAAUUUAAUUCUUUGAAACUAAGAGGUUAAUGUAUUCUAGAGAAAGUCAGGGAAGAAAAAGAAAACUGACAAUUUAGUGAGUUUCAGCUUAAGUAGAAACAAACAGAAUCCAAAGGCUUUCAAUAACAUACAGGUAUGUCAAAGUUAUCAAUUUGAGCUUUAUAAUUUCAAGCUUUUAGUCAUUGUCAUCUCCUGCUUCUUCAAUUAUUUUUAUUAAUUACAUCAAAAUAAACAGAUAAGAUCUAAGAAACUGAGAGAGAGGGAACCUGGAGGAAUUCUUUCUUCUUCUGUUUUCUGUUGUGACAUUCAGGAGAAGAGGGAUACUCUGUGUUAGAAUACAACACAGUGAUAUUUAAAAAGAGAAACAAAUGAAGCAUAUAUGACCUCUUGGGCAUAUUCUUAAAAGACAAAGUAGAACAACAGGAGCCAGAACAUUUUGGUCUGAAAAACUGCCUUGAAAAUUAAUGUUAAAAAGGCAUAUGCAGAUUCCACACAUCAGCCACCAGUAAUUUUCAUCACUUCUGGACAGUUAACACAGAGGACAGGGCUUCUCCUUGAGAGCUGGGGCUAUGGGUGAACUACAAAGACUAGAAUGACUUGAAAUUCAAUUCAAAGUCUGUGCACAUACAUUCAUAAUAGAACAUUAAAGAUCAACUGACUAACCCUUGUUCUGACUUUACAGGUAGGAAUAUUGGGAAUCUAAGAUGCUAAAUAACUCAGCGAUGACAACAAUAAGCAAACCCGUAAAUGUGCUGAGCAUGAAGCAGGCACUCAGGAGAUUCCUGUUGUUUGAGUGAUGAUGGAGAUUGUGGUUUUGGUGAUAUUCGUGAUUUGGUAGCCACCCAGACCCCUAAGCGAAAGAAGUCAAAGAAAAUGUACCUUGCGAGUAUUGAUUUCUCAUUAAAUAUUGAAUCUGUAUAAAGACAUUCAACAAGAUGCUGAAGAAGUACAUGGAAUACCCAUCAAUUUAUCACUCAGAAAAUUAGAUGUAGAAAAGAAACUCACUGACUUCUGAAAGCAAUAAACCUUGGAAGAGUCAAACUGACCCUCAGACUUAUUAACACUCUCAAAUAAGAGACAGAAUCAAACUGUAAAGAGACUAUUUUCUGAAUUAUCUUUGCUAUUAAUCUAUUUUAUAGGCUCAUUGAUUUUUAAAAAAUUAUAUGCUUACUUUCAUAUAUGAUGAAACAUAUACAUCAUGUAUGUUUACAAAUAUAUACCUUUACUUUCUUAAUUACAUAUAAUGAAGUAAUUUAAAAUAAAAUGUAACCAUAGAAGUUGAGCCAGCAGCCCUAUUAAUGAACACAGGAUAGGAUUAUGAAUUGGUACGAUGGAAACCAUUUGCACUCAGGCAGGUAGGCAUACCUCCCUCAGUUACGGUCACCACUAUUGAAAUGAAAGGUAUCCUUUGACUUAAAAUAAUUUAAUUUUCAAGGAAUAUUUAACUUUUCUAGCUGAAGUCUUUAUAAAAUAUUCUUUAACAUCAACUGGGUUGAAGAAAAGGACAGAAUAAUCACAUCGGCAAAUAAUAGUAGGUAAAGAACAAUAGAUGAAACAGAGAGAUACUGAAAAGAAGACUUGAAGACUAAUAUUUGAACAGACUAACACAAGGAAUCAAGCCAAAAUAUUUCAUGGAGUUAAACAAUCAUGAAAUACCCUAUUUCAAUAACGUGCUUCUACUUAAUUGCCGCUGACAGAGACUUGACUUGUAAUAUUCAGAUUUAGUCCUUUACCUCUGCAUUCUACUUCAUAUUAGGCCAAGAAGUUGAACUCAAACAAGGCGUUAAUUGUUAAAAUAUCUUGUUUCAUACGUUCUGGUUUAGAACUUCCUUACCAAUAUGUGUGUCCUCAAAUUAACUUAUCUGGCUGCCAAUUUCAUUUUGAGAAAUAUUUUUGACAUUUACUAAUGCAAAAAGUUGUGUCCCACUUGCUCUUAAGUCAUACUUAUAUCAGCUUUCCCUUUUAUGACCUCAAAUAAAAAAACAGUAAUUGAUAAAAUCGGCCAGGACACUUGAGGAGCUAUCCUUCAAUUUCCAAUAUAUUACAGACCCCUCAUUACAAUGA
rnacentral:lncRNA from 1 species